rnacentral:rRNA from 1 species
UGAGCAAUCUGCCCUUCUCUUUGGAAUAAGCGUGGGAAACCGCGUCUAAUGCCGAAUACGACCUCCUUUCGCAUGAUCGGAGGUGGAAAGCUCCGGCGGAGAAGGAUGAGCUCGCGGCCUAUCAGCUUGUUGGUGGGGUAGUGGCCUACCAAGGCGACGACGGGUAGCCGGCCUGAGAGGGUGACCGGCCACACUGGGACUGAGACACGGCCCAGACUCCGUACGGGAGCAGC